GACGAACGCUGGCGGCGUGCUUAACACAUGCAAGUCGAGCGGUAAGGCCCUUCGGGGUACACGAGCGGCGAACGGGUGAGUAACACGUGGGUGACCUGCCCUUAGCUCUGGGAUAAGCCUGGGAAACUGGGUCUAAUACCGGAUAUGACCUCAUGACGCAUGUUGUGGGGUGGAAAGCCUUGUGCGGCUAGGGAUGGGCCCGCGGCCUAUCAGCUUGUUGGUGGGGUGAUGGCCACCAAGGCGACGACGGGUAGCCGGCCUGAGAGGGCGACCGGCCACACUGGGACUGAGACACGGCCCAGACUCCUACGGGAGGCAGCAGUGGGGAAUCUUGCGCAAUGGGCGAAAGCCUGACGCAGCGACGCCGCGUGAGGGAUGACGGCCUC
rnacentral:rRNA from 1 species